rnacentral:misc_RNA from 1 species
AAGUCGUAACAAGGUAACCGUAGGUGAACCUGCGGUUGGAUCAUUAACAAUGGUUUUCAAACCUUUAUUCUGUGCACUAUAUUGUUCUUGGUGUUUUCCGCCUCUUUCUUUGGAGAGGAGCGGAGGCACCGACAUUUUUAAACCAUGUAUUGUAUCGAGUCUUGAAUUUGUAUUAAAAUGAAAAACUUUUGACAACGGAUCUCUUGGCUCUC